GCAGGGGAUGAAAGGCGAGUUGGUAAGGGCGUACAGCUACUAACCUGAAAGUUGUGGGUUCAAUUCCCGCCCUUUGCA